ACCACAUCAUGUUGAAACACUGGUUCCCAUAUAAUCACCAAAGUUAAGCAACAUCAAGCCUAGUUAGUAUCUAGAUGGGUGACUUCUUGGGUAUGCAGGUGGUGUAA